CUACGGGCCGCUCCAGUGAGGAAUCUUGCACAAUGGGCGAAAGCCUGAUGCAGCGACGCCGCGUGGAGGAUGAAGGUCUUCGGAUUGUAAACUUCUGUUAAGUGGGAAGAAAAGCGUAGUCAUAAUACGGCUACGUAAUGACGGUACCAUUAGAGAAAGCACCGGCUAACUUCGUGCCAGCAGCCGCGGUAAUACGAAGGGUGCGAGCGUUAUUCGGAUUUAUUGGGCGUAAAGGGUGCGCAGGCGGUAUGCUAAGUCAACUGUUAAAUUUCCCGGCCUAACUGGGGCAAGCGGUAGAUACUGGCAUUCUAGAGGAUGGAAGAGAGAAGUGGAAUUCUCGGAGUAGCGGUAAAAUGCGUAGAUCUCGAGAGGAACACCGAUGGCGAAGGCAGCUUCUUGGUCCAUUCCUGACGCUCAUGCACGAAAGCGUGGGGAGCAAACAGGAUUAGAUACCCCUGUAGUC
rnacentral:rRNA from 1 species